AUUACCAGCAUCACCAUCCUGUUCCUGGUUCUUACCACGUGGCCAUCACCCACAAGCUGGACAAACACAUUACCAUCAAAAAAUCUGGCAGAAGCAUGUGCCUCAUGAAAAUGCCAACAUCUGUGUUCCUCUAGGAAACUAUGGUGCAAAUACAAGUCAUCGGAAUUGAAACGAAACUCAUAAUUUUACUUCUGAUGGACUAAAUCCAUAUCAUCAUGCACAGUUUUUACAUAUAUAAAGGGAAUCUUCAGCAAUACCACUCCACAAACAUUGUAUUAACCAAUCUAGCCCUUCCAGUUUGAGGUUAUGAGCUUUACUGCUCCUCCUUCACCUCAGCUGAUAUCUGAGCUGCUCUGCAAUGAUUAGAGCUUAAACACCUUAAGCUGAGAUCCCUGGUGCACUGAGGCAGAAGUCUCAACGCCUGAGACAACCAGGAAGACUGAAUAAAGACUCCUCUUCAUUAAAACUAUUUCCUUUGUGCACCUUUUUAUGUCAGCAGAGACUGAUGGUGGCAUUUCAAGUCAGCAGAAGAAAAUGCAACAGAAAAUCCAACAGUUGCAGCUUAGCUAAUUAGGUUCUCAGCCAAAAAAAAUAGAGGCAGUAAUGUGUCUUCAUAACUUAAGAGAAACCUAAUUCUGAGUAUGCCUUAAAGGAGUUAUUGUAGCAUCUAUAUCAUAUCCCAACAUUAACAUCACCUUUGUGACUAAAAAAAAGCAAGCAGUUUCCAUUUUCCAAGCCAAAGAACACAGGAAAAGAAAAAAUAACCAAAAUCAAACUCUUACCUUGAAAAAACUUAAAUGUUCCAGCACUAAUUCACCACACAAGCUUCUCCUACUAAUCCUGUCACCUGGUCAGGAGAAGCAGCCUGGGUGAGAGCACUUCAGAAGCAAAGGACACCUGGUUUCUCACUAUUUACCAUGUUAAAAUGGCCAAGCAAGCUGUAGUUUUUAAAGUUAAGCAGCGAAAAUUAAUUCAGGAAAGGAAAGUCUGCUUUCUCUUCUUGGAAACGUUCCUGAUUUUUUCAGUGGGAACAUUCAGCAAUACACGUUAAUAUUUAACUCUGUGUUUUUCCAGUAUUACACCAGUCUUUCUGCAGGGAUGCAGAGAAAGGCAGUGGCAUAGCUGAACUGUUACUCUUCUUUAAAAGCAUAAGAAGUGACCACCAGACGAGCGAAAAACCCAACAGAAAGAGUAGAAAAGUUCCUGUAGAUAAACUUUCUGCAGCACAGAUCACGAGAACAUCUUAAUGAAUUAGCAAUUCACUGUGAAACAAUUCUGUAAGUGAUGAAAAAUAACAUGCUAAUAAAAAUCAUCAUCUGUCCUGUCCUACUCACACCUGUUUGGAGAGCAACAAUACUGCUUUACUUGGUCACUUAGUCCUUCUAACAGUGCAACAGAUCAAUCUCAAGAAAACCUUCAAAUGUUGGCAAGCAAAUAACUGUUCUUAUCUAUGGUAUUACUGCCUCAGCUGCUGCCAGGACAAACAUAACAAGCUCAGUUAGCCACCCUACUGCAAUGCACUCUUACUCUCUAGCUUUCUUUAAUCUCAUUAUGAUACGCUCCUUCCUUUUGUCUGCCUAUUUCCUUGGGUUUUGA